rnacentral:rRNA from 1 species
UGGCGGCACUAGCGCGGUGGUCCCACCUGACCCCAUGCCGAACUCAGAAGUGAAACGCCGUAGCGCCGAUGGUAGUGUGGGGCCUCCCCAUGCGAGAGUAGGGAACUGCCAGGCA